AUGGAGCACCUGCGAGAGCUCAAGGAGGAGGUGGAGAUCAUGGAAGAGGAGGAAUCUCCUGAGGUGCACAAGAACGUCUUCCUCUCAGAUCCAACUCCUCCUACCAGUGAUGUUUUGAUCCGAAGCAGAGGCAGAAGCAAAGUCAGGGAGACGGGGGCCACGAUCAGUGCUUCGUUGGGCGCCAUGAGACCCCUUAUUGGGAAGUUGGACAUGCUUCUCCUUAGGGAUGCUCCUCAGAAAUGCUGCUCCAAGAGGAUCAAGGACAGGAUGCGCCUCCUCAAAGAUGACGUUCAAAAGAUAAGUUCCUACGUUGAUGAACUAUCAGAGGUGGAAGACCCUCCGCCAAUGGCCAUGUGCUGGAUGAAUGAGGCACGCGACCUGUCUUACGACAUGGAGGAUUACGUCGACAGCUUAUUAUUUGUGCCGCCUGAAGAUCCCUCCCUUUUUGCCAACAACAUCAAGGCCACCAGAUCCCUCCGCAAAUGGUUCAGUCGUGUCAAGACUUCCCAGACUCAGGUUAUUAGUGCGGGAACAUUAUCAGAAUUCAGGAGGUAUGUCCAGGAGGCCAUUCAACGGCACCAGAGGUAUAAUCUCCAUUCUUGCAGAACCUUGAGGCGUAGGUUUGUGUCCCAUGGCCCUAUGAUUCUUCCAAGGCCAUAUGAAGAAACUGCAGACAUAGUAAUCGAUGGCCGGAUGAAUGAAUUUAUCAACUCACUGGCUACCGAUGGGGACCAGCAGCUCAAGGUGCUUUCUGUUCUUGGAUCUGCUUGUCUUGGUAAAACCACACUUGCUAGAGUGUUGUACAACAGAUUUAGGAAGCAAUACAAUUGCCGAGCUUUCAUUCGAGUAUCCAAGAAGCCUGAUACGAAGAAAAUAUUCUGUGACAUGCUCUCACAACUCAAGCGGCAACAUCCUCUGCAACAUUGUAGGGAAAUUGAUCUCAUUCACGAUAUCAAGCAAUAUCUACAGGAUAAAAGGUAUUUAAUUAUUAUUGAUGAUGUAUGGGCUGCAUCAGUAUGGGAUACUAUUAAUCAUGUUUUUCCAAAGGGUAAUCAUGGCAGUAGAAUAAUAACAACUACACAGAUCGAAGAUGUUGCAUUAACAUGUUGCUGCUAUCAGUCAGAGUAUGUUUUUGAGAUGAAACACCUAGAUGAUGAUCAUUCUAGAAAGCUUUUCUUUAACAGACUAUUUUGCUCUGAAAGAGAUUGUCCUGAACAGUUCAAAGAUGUUCUAGAUGAAAUUGUUGAAACAUGUGAUGGUUUGCCGUUAGCCACAGUUAGCAUAGCAAGUGUUUUAGCAAGCCAGCCUGUCAUGUCAAUUGAUCUUUUGACAUACAUCCAUCGGUCGCUAAGCUCUUGUUUCUCGGCAUCAGAAAGAACUAGACAAGCACUGAAUCUGAGCUUUAACAGUCUUCCUCAAUAUUUGAAGACAUGUUUGCUUUAUCUUAGUAUGUAUCCAGAGGGCUACACAAUCUUGAAGGAUGAUUUGGUGAAGCAAUGGGUGGCUGAAGGUUUGAUCUAUACAACAGAAGGGCAAGACAUCUUGAAAGAUGCAGAGAGCUAUCUCGAUCAACUUAUUGGUAGAAGAUUCAUCCAACCGAUAUGUGUCAACUACAACAAUGAGGUGUUAUCCUGUGCAGUGCAUGGCAUGGUACAUGAUCUUAUUGCACACAAAUCCGCAGAAGAGAAUUUCAUUGUGGCAAUAGACUACAGCCAAAAGAAUGUGCCACUCUCUCAAAAGGUCCGUCGACUAUCUCUCCUCUUUGGUAAUGCAAAAUAUGCCAAGAUACCAGCAAACAUCACAAAGGCACAAGUUCGGUCACUUGGAUUUUUUGGAUUACUCGAGUCUAUGCCUUGUAUUACAGAGUUCAAGCUUCUUCGUGUCCUGAACCUUCAACUGUUCCGUCAUGCUGGCGAUGACGAUGGCCCUGUAGACCUCACUGGAAUUUCAGAAAUGUUUCAACUGAGAUAUUUGAAGAUUGCAGGUAAUGUCUGCAUAAAACUGCCAAACCAUGUGCUACAAUGUUUGGAAAUACUGGAUAUUGCGGAUGCAAGAGUUGCUUGUGUUCCACGAGAUAUCCAUUUACCAAACUUGUUACACCUUGGUCUUCCUGUUGAUAAAAAUCUGCUGGAUUGGAUUAACAGCAGGAUGUCUCUCAGUGUGGAGAGAGUACGGAAGCUGCAGGAUCUUCACCUGACCAGAUCUUCUGCACUUUCUUCUGACCAUCUGAAUAGAAGCAUGAGUUCUAUUUUAUCUUUACUUGGAGGACAUGGCAACCUGAAAACUUUAGUAGUGGCUCAUGGCUCAUCGGCUAAAAAUGCUCGUGGCGCUUCAGAUGUCACCCUGUCAUUGGAUCUCCUGGCACCCCCACUUCUCCAGAGAUUUGAAUUCUCGCCACAUAGCCAUAUCAUGUUCUCGCGAAUUCCUCUGUGGAUUGAGAAACAUGGCAACCUAAGAAUUUUGAAGAUUGCAGUGAGGGAACUGCAGAUGAGUUGUGUUGAUAUCCUUAGAGGAUCGCCUGCCCUCACUGCUCUCUCUCUGUAUGUGGAGAAGGCGCCCUACGACAAGAUCAUCUUUGACAAGGCUGGGUUCUCAAUUCUCAAGUACUUCAAGUUGAGGUUCACGAGUGACAUAGCUUGGAUAAAAUUUGAGAAAGGUGCAAUGCCUAAUCUCUGGAAGCUCAAGAUAGUUUUCAAUGCCAUCCCCUCUUUUGAAAAAGAUGGUACUGCACUCAUCAGCAUCGAGCAUAUGCCAGGCCUUAAAGAGAUCUCCACAAAAUUUGGGGGUGAAGCUCCUGAUCUAGAGUAUGCCUUGAGGACCUUGGUUAGUAAUCAUCCGACCAAUCCUAUAAUUAACAUGCCAUCAAAUAAGACUCUGGGGGGAGAACAACCACAUAGGAAUCUGGAGGAAGAAUCAGAUGAGAUUCUGAAGGAAGAUCCAUAUGGGAAUCUGGAGCAAGAAUCGGAUGAAAUUCUGGAGGAACAAGAGCCAGAUGAAUACGAUGAGAGAUUAGAGAGGCGACAGGCUGAUAAAAGGAUUUCAAGGUCAUCAGAUCCAUCUUCGCGUCUACAUGUUCCAGUACCAGUUGGUGCUUCUGAGAUGGGAAGUGAGCCUGAUGUGGAAAUCCCUGCGGCACCAACUACUAAUGAUAAUACGAUGUUGUCAGUCAAUCUCGAAGCAUUUGCUAAGGAAAAUUAUCCGAGCACUAACUUGGAAAGUUCUGUAAAGGAGAUGGAAAGAGUGGCAGGUUUAGAGGAUCAUCAGAUGGAAGAUAGCACACAGAAGCCGGGCAAGAUCGCUCUCCCCUCCCACGAGUCCACCAUGGGCAGAUUCCUCUGGGCUCCAGCGUGGGACAGGGACAGGAUGCAGAUCGGGAUGUUCAAGGACGGCGACGGCAACCUGCUCGUCAACAAGGACGGCCUCCGCAUCACCCCGCAGACCGAGGAAGGCGAGGCUCCUCCUAUAGAGCCGUUAGAUAACCAUCAGUUGAGCAUACAUGAUCUGGAAGCAAUCAAAGUGAUUGGGAAAGGUAGUAGUGGAACCGUGCAAUUGGUGCGCCAGAAAUGGACUGGCCAGUUUUUUGCUCUCAAGGUUAUACAACUCAAUAUUCAGGAAAGCAUACGCAAGCAACUUGCCCAGGAGUUGAAAUUAAGUUUGUCAACACAGUGCCAAUAUGUUGUCACAUGCUAUCAGUGUUUCUAUGUCAAUGGUGUUAUUUCUAUUGCUUUGGAGUAUAUGGAUGGAGGCUCUCUGGCUGAUUUCCUGAUGACUGCUAGAACCGUUCCAGAGGCCUACCUUGCUGCAAUUUGUAAGCAGGUGUUGAAAGGACUGAUGUACUUGCAUCAUGAGAAGCGCGUUAUACACCGAGAUCUGAAACCAUCGAAUAUACUAAUAAAUCAUAGGGGUGAAGUAAAGAUAUCAGAUUUUGGUGUUAGUGCCAUCAUUUCUAGUUCUUCUGCACAGCGAGAUACAUUUACUGGCACAUUUAACUACAUGGCGCCGGAAAGAAUCAGUGGGCAGAAACAUGGUUACAUGAGUGAUAUAUGGAGCUUGGGCCUAGUUAUGCUGGAAUGUGCCACUGGCAAUUUCCCAUAUCCUCCUCGUGGUAGCUUUUAUGAACUUCUUGAAGAUGUUGUCGACCAACCAUCACCUUCUGCACCAUCAGACCAGUUUUCACCAGAGUUCUGUUCAUUCAUUUCUGCGUGUAUGCAAAAAGAGGCCACAAAUAGAUCAUCUGCACAAAUCCUAUCAGCUCAUCCAUUCCUCAGCAUGUACGACGACCUGAAUGUUGAUCUUGCUGUCUACUUCAGGACUGCGGGAUCUCCACUUGUCACCUUCAAGAAUAAGUGA
rnacentral:rRNA from 1 species